rnacentral:pre_miRNA from 1 species
CUAAUACUCCCUUCGUUCGGAAUUACUUGUCACAAAAAUGAAUAAAAAUGGAUGUAUCUACAACUAAAAUACAUCUAGAUACAUUCAUUUCUUGGACGAGUAAUUCCGAACGGAGGGAGUAUAAU